rnacentral:pre_miRNA from 1 species
CUAAUACUUCCUCCGUUCCAAAAUUCUUGUUUUAGAUUUGUCUAGAUAUGAAUGUAUUUAGUCAGAUUUUACUAUUUAGAUACAUCCAUUUCUAGACAAACCUAAGACAAGAAUUUUUGAGACGGAGGGAGUAUAAG